GGCGGCGUGGCCGAAUGGUUAGGCAGAGGCCUGCAAAGCCUUGCAAAGCGGUUCGAUUCCGCUCGCCGCCU
rnacentral:tRNA from 1 species